rnacentral:snoRNA from 1 species
GGCCUUUGUGUUGCCCAUUCAUUCCGGUCCAGAAUGAAUGUGGUGUCAAAAAAGGCAAACAGGAAUUCUUGCUCAAACUGGUUUAGGGAGCUGGUCGUGUACCUUCCUCCUCUCUGUUUUUGCAAGGACAAAA